UGGGGAAUCUUGCGCAAUGGCCGAAAGGCUGACGCAGCGACGCCGCGUGUGGGAGGACGCCUUUCGGGGUGUAAACCACUGUUGCCCGGGACGAACAGCUUCUUUCGAGGAGCCUGACGGUACCGGGUGAGGAAGCACCGGCUAACUCCGUGCCAGCAGCCGCGGUAAUACGGAGGGUGCGAGCGUUGUCCGGAAUCAUUGGGCGUAAAGGGCGCGUAGGUGGCCCGGUCAGUUCGUGGUGAAAGCGCGGGGCUCAACCCCGCGUCGGCCAUGAAUACUGCUGGGCUGGAGCACUGUAGAGGCAGGUGGAAUUCCGGGUGUAGCGGUGGAAUGCGUAGAGAUCCGGAAGAACACCGGUGGCGAAGGCGGCCUGCUGGGCAGUGGCUGACACUGAGGCGCGACAGCGUGGGGAGCAAACAGGAUUAGAUACC
rnacentral:rRNA from 1 species